UACGUAGGGUGCAAGCGUUGUCCGGAAUUAUUGGGCGUAAAGAGCUCGUAGGCGGUUCGUCGCGUCGGCUGUGAAAUCCCGAGGCUCAACCUCGGGUCUGCAGUCGAUACGGGCGGACUGGAGUUCGGCAGGGGAGACUGGAAUUCCUGGUGUAGCGGUGAAAUGCGCAGAUAUCAGGAGGAACACCUAUGGCGAAGGCAGCUCGCUGGGACGGUACUGACGCUGAGGCGCGAAAGCGUGGGGAGCGAUCCGG
rnacentral:rRNA from 1 species